rnacentral:pre_miRNA from 1 species
ACAACAGUCGGACCGUCGGUCUACCGAGCAAACAUCACCCGCUCGGUGGAAGAUAAUCUCUUUGCCGU